rnacentral:rRNA from 1 species
CAAUAGCGUAUAUUAAAGUUGUUGCAGUUAAAAAGCUCGUAGUUGGAUUUGUGGCGUACGGUGUGUUCCGGGCACUUGUUGUCUGAGUAACCUGCUGUUGCCAUCCUUGGGUGGAACCUGUGUGGCAUUAGGUUGUCGUGCAGGGGAUGCCCAUCAUUUACUGUGAAAAAAUUAGAGUGUUCAAAGCAGGCUUAUGCCGUUGAAUAUAUUAGCAUGGAAUAAUGAGAUAGGACUUUUUUGCUAUUUUGUUGGUUUGCGCAAAGAGGUAAUGAUUAAUAGGGACAGUUGGGGGUAUUCGUAUUCCAUUGUCAGAGGUGAAAUUCUUGGAUUUUUGGAAGACGAACUAUUGCGAAAGCAUUUACCAAGGAUGUUUUCAUUAA